CACGUAGGGCGCAAGCGUUGUCCGGAAUUAUUGGGCGUAAAGAGCUCGUAGGCGGUCUGUUGCGUCUGCUGUGAAAACCCGGGGCUUAACCCCUGGCUUGCAGUGGAUACGGACAGACUAGAGGUAGGUAGGGGAGAAUGGAAUUCCCGGUGUAGCGGUGAAAUGCGUAGAGAUUUGGAGGAACACCAGUGGCGAAGGCGACUUUCUGGUCUGUAACUGACGCUGAGGCGCGAAAGCGUGGGGAGCAAACAGG
rnacentral:rRNA from 1 species